GACGAACGCUGGCGGCGUGCUUAACACAUGCAAGUCGAACGGACAGAAUUAGAAGCUUGCUUCUAAGGAAGUUAGUGGCGGACGGGUGAGUAACGCGUGGGUAACCUGCCUUUAAGAGGGGGAUAACACUUCGAAAGGAGUGCUAAUACCGCAUAACAUCAUUAAACUGCAUGGUUUGAUGAUCAAAGGAGCAAUCCGCUUAAAGAUGGACCCGCGUCUGAUUAGCUAGUUGGUGAGGUAACGGCUCACCAAGGCGACGAUCAGUAGCCGGCCUGAGAGGGUGAUCGGCCACACUGGGACUGAGACACGGCCCAGACUCCUACGGGAGGCAGCAGUGGGGAAUCUUCCGCAAUGGGCGCAAGCCUGACGGAGCAACGCCGCGUGAGUGAAGAAGGUUUUCGGAUUGUAAAACUCUGUCUUCAGGGAAGAAACAAUGACGGUACCUGAGGAGGAAGCCCCGGCUAACUACGUGCCAGCCGCCGCCGUAACAC
rnacentral:rRNA from 1 species